AGAGAACUCGGGUGAAGGAACUAGGCAAAAUGGUGCCGUAACUUCGGGAGAAGGCACGCUGACACGUAGGUGAAGUGAUUUACUCAUGGAGCUGAAGUCAGUCGAAGAUACCAGCUGGCUGCAACUGUUUAUUAAAAACACAGCACUGUGCAAACACGAAAGUGGACGUAUACGGUGUGACGCCUGCCCGGUGCCGGAAGGUUAAUUGAUGGGGUCAGCGCAAGCGAAGCUCCUGAUCGAAGCCCCGGUAAACGGCGGCCGUAACUAUAACGGUCCUAAGGUAGCGAAAUUCCUUGUCGGGUAAGUUCCGACCUGCACGAAUGGCGUAAUGAUGGCCAGGCUGUCUCCACCCGAGACUCAGUGAAAUUGAACUCGCUGUGAAGAUGCAGUGUACCCGCGGCAAGACGGAAAGACCCCGUGAACCUUUACUAUAGCUUGACACUGAACAUUGAGCCUUGAUGUGUAGGAUAGGUGGGAGGCUUUGAAGUGUGGACGCCAGUCUGCAUGGAGCCGGCCUUGAAAUACCACCCUUUAAUGUUUGAUGUUCUAACGUGGACCCGUGAUCCGGGUUGCGGACAGUGUCUGGUGGGUAGUUUGACUGGGGCGGUCUCCUCCUAAAGAGUAACGGAGGAGCACGAAGGUUGGCUAAUCCUGGUCGGACAUCAGGAGGUUAGUGCAAUGGCAUAAGCCAGCUUGACUGCGAGCGUGACGGCGCGAGCAGGUGCGAAAGCAGGUCAUAGUGAUCCGGUGGUUCUGAAUGGAAGGGCCAUCGCUCAACGGAUAAAAGGUACUCCGGGGAUAACAGGCUGAUACCGCCCAAGAGUUCAUAUCGACGGCGGUGUUUGGCACCUCGAUGUCGGCUCAUCACAUCCUGGGGCUGAAGUAGGUCCCAAGGGUAUGGCUGUUCGCCAUUUAAAGUGGUACGCGAGCUGGGUUUAGAACGUCGUGAGACAGUUCGGUCCCUAUCUGCCGUGGGCGCUGGAGAACUGAGGGGGGCUGCUCCUAGUACGAGAGGACCGGAGUGGACGCAUCACUGGUGUUCGGGUUGUCAUGCCAAUGGCACUGCCCGGUAGCUAAAUGCGGAAGAGAUAAGUGCUGAAAGCAUCUAAGCACGAAACUUGCCCCGAGAUGAGUUCUCCCUGAGACUUUAGGUCUCCUGAAGGAACGUUGAAGACGACGACGUUGAUAGGCCGGGUGUGUAAGCGCAGCGAUGCGUUGAGCUAACCGGUACUAAUGAACCGUGAGGCUUAACCUUACA
rnacentral:rRNA from 1 species